rnacentral:rRNA from 1 species
UACGGGGGGGGCAAGCGUCGUUCGGAAUUACUGGGCGUAAAGGGCUCGUAGGUGGCCAACUAAGUCAGACGUGAAAUCCCUCGGCUUAACCGGGGAACUGCGUCUGAUACUGGAUGGCUGGAGUAUGGGAGAGGAAUGCGGAAUUCCAGGUGUAGCGGUGAAAUGCGUAGAUAUCUGGAGGAACACCGGUGGCGAAGGCGGCAUUCUGGACCAUUACUGACGCUGAGGAGCGAAAGCCAGGGGAGCAAACGGG